CUCCCGCUCCGCCGCCGCCCCUACCGCUCCAUCGGCCCGACCUAUUCUUCGGGCGCGACCACAGGAGCAGCUCCACCUCCCUACCCCCUCAUGCAACAGCACUCCAAACCCCCACCACCACGUCCGGCCGCCUCUAGAGUUUCUUACCCUCAAUGCCCCGCCGCGACUUGUGUUCCGGGCAGUGAGGAUGGGAGCGGGUCGGCUGUGUCGCUUAGUGGAUGGAGCGGCUGGGGCAGUGGCGCCACCGGGCUGGGCGGAGGAGAAGGAUGAGUCGUGGUGGUCCGAGACUGGAGGGCAGCGUUGUGCCAGAUCGAGGUAGCAGUAGCCGGAUCCGUGUAGAUCAAGGUUCACCAUCGUGUGAGCCAUGAAAUUUGAGAUUGCCGUCGCAUGGGUCGCCGAUGGCGAACACGCGUAGGUCAUGGACGACCCUCCCUCGCGAGCCACGCAUUCUGGCUCACCACCUCAGGCCGACGCGGUGCCUCCCCGGCGAGGCCGCGACGGCCUCUUCCUCCUCGCAUUGUCUCCGUCCUCCUGCUCAAGCCCGUCGUUGUCGCAUCCUUCGUGGCCUUUUUGUGUGGGCGCACUGCUAGAGGACGAUGUUGAACAUGAAGUGGAGCCCAGCCGGAGCGGUCUGACGCGGUGCAAGAGGAAUGGUCGACGCCAUAGCGUAUCUUCGUGGCCAAGGAGCGGUGGUCGACACCAUCGAGCAGGAGCCAUCGGUCGCCUGCACAUGGGCCGCAUUCUGAACUAAUGCUUUCUGCAACUGCAAUGUUCCCCUCCAUAGCGUAUCUUGUACAGGCAGAAGGAAUGCAGUUCAGUGACCGCGUCGGCUACAACUAGAUCGAUGGCCUGAAGGCUUUUACUGAGAAGAUGAAGAAUGCUAUAGAAUAGUGUCCAGCAACAAAGACUCCUACUACUACCGGUUCGAGAGAGGCUCUACCCUCAGGAUUCGGCAAGGAAGACCUGCUGUGGAGUCCGAGCAUCGCGUGCAGCACAUCAGCUGCCUGAGAGGGCAGCAACAGCUUUCUUUUCUACGAGAAGAUGAUCAAGGGGGCCGGCGGCCGUUUUGUGGUCAUCCUCAAUGUGUCCAAGCUCGUCCCGCAUCGGUCACAUUAUUGCCGACUCAUCGGUAAGUGUUCAACAAAUUGUCAGGUGCUGAUUUGAAUCCUUGUUCAAUUGCAAGUGGCCUGUAACACAGGGUUGAGUGCACAUUACCAUCACACUGCCAUGUAAACUUUGUUGGUACGCAAUCAAGCUGCUACAGUUCUAUUUAUAGUUUAUUUGGCCAUUUUGUCUUUGUUGUCCAUGGUCAGAUCAUGGUUUAUAGGCUUGAUCAUUAUGAGUCAGUAAAGUGAGAAUGAGCAGCAAUGAUUUAUUUACCUAA